rnacentral:rRNA from 1 species
AUGCACUUGGUAAGUUGCGGACAUACGACGGUCACGAUUAACGGCGAAAUGGGCAAGUUUUUCCGCAACAAAAGGGGCCUCCGACAAGGAGACCCAAGUUUCCCGCUCAUUUUUAACUUUGUUGCGGACGCCUUGUCGGCCAUGCUUUCCAAGGCGAGAGUUGCGAGUCACAUCAAAGGGUCGGUGCCCCACCUCAUUCCCGGUGGGCUGACUCACUUGCAAUACACGGACGAUAUGAUGCUCCUCUUGAGCCAGACGACCAUAGUAUCGCGUCGAUCAAGCUUUUGCUCCUCGCCUUCGAGAUUUUGUCGGCGCUUAAAAUAA